CAGGUUGUUAGCGAGGUGUAUACAAGUGCAUGUGUUUCGUAUGAGUUGUGUGACCGGUCAAGAUUAAAAUACCUGUUACAGUUAUGAUGAAAAUUUUACUCGUUUGUUUGUUCGUCGUGUUGGUGUCUGGCGUAGCGGAGAAAGACGUAGUCAACAACGGAUCCGUUGAGAGGGGACAACGUCAGUGGUUAUUUAUUCCACCAUGCAUUCAAAUAAACUGUUGGAAGUCCAAAAAGUCAUUAAAGCACCCGCCUGAUCAGAAUGGAUAACUAUCAUCCCACAGAUUUGGUCAAUAAAAAAACG